AUGACCAAUAACCAACAUGUUUAAAGAAAUACGAGUGGGCACAUGUAUAAGGAAGGUAUUAGACAUACAUGUUAUAUUUUUAUUCACUUUAAUGUUUAUUAUUAAGUAAAAAGUUCCAUCGGACAGAAAAAGCAAGCGUCAGGUCUUUGACCCGUCUACAUAAUUACAUCCUCACCCUCUGUGUCACCGUCUUU